ACGCGCCCAAGCCGAGCCGGGCGGCUCCUCCGCCCCCGCCCCCCGCGCGCCCGCCGCCCGGGCGGAGGAGAGGAGCGCGCGGCCGCGCAGAGCAAGCUGAGCCGAGCCGAGCCGAGCUGGGGGCGCAGAGCGCGGGAGGCGGCGGCGGCGCGGAGCUAAUACACUGGGGUCAGUCUUCUAUGCUGUACUUCAUAGGCAAUGGGAAUGGUUCACAGGAGGCACUUAUUGAAGAACUUUUAAUGAAACGGAUGGAGCCAACUACCAGCUACUGAAAGACAGGCAUCGUAGCCUGGGGGUGGUGGGGGGCUGAGUGUUGCGCCCUCAAAUAAGCCCAUGAAGGACCCACAUCUUGCCUCCAGCAUUCCUGGCCCAACUGGGGAGCCAGGCAUCCACAGUGAGAGGCUUUGUCUUCUUGGUGGUUUUCAACUGAGAACAACUUGUCUACCACCUCAAGAAGACAGCUGGCUGUGUCUGGAGACACUUUUGGUUGUCACAAUGAGGGUGGGAGAGCUACCAGCACCUCAUGUGCAGAGGCCAGUAACGCUGCUAAGCAUCCUACAAUAGACAGGAUAGCCUCCCACAACAAA
rnacentral:lncRNA from 1 species